UUCAGCCCGGCCUGGAGGGCGGAGGGCGCUGGGGCGGGGCGUGGGCCCGAGAACUUGAGGAGCUGGGUUAAGAAAUGGGGAGGAGAGGCCAAGUCUGUGGAGAAGGCUGAAAGGGGACCAACCAGCCCAAACUUGCUAGAAGAAACAGUUCAGCCCAGGAAGCAUUGCUAAUGAAGGCCCUAACAAGUCGCGGGAGAGGCUACCAGCCCCAGCCUUUGGACAGCAUGACACGGAGGGCUGCAACAAGAUAUUUACCUGCACCCUCAAGGAUUAUUCUGGGCCUGGAAACAGAGACCCAGAUGGAAGAGACUCACCACCAAGACAGUGGGAUCUGGGCCUGGGGUGGGGAAAGCUCCAGGACAGUGGAGUCCUAGAGGCCCAGCUCACAGCCAUGGAAUGAGAGAUAGGGAGGAGGAAUGAGUGGAGAGGGAUCAAGGGGAGGAGCAAGAGGAUGGAGUGAACAAGGUCAGUCAGAUGGCUUGAGUGUGGAUAUGUUAAGUGGGGGGAGAUCAGGUGGACCUUGGGUGGGGACAGGGCCUUGCAGAGAUUACUAUCAUAGGACUCACCCCUACUUAGAGUUUUCCAUGUGCCACUCACAUGGAAACAUUUUACAUUUUACUUUCAUUUCCUCCCUUAGUCCUGACCUUAGCCACUGCAGUGGGUUGAUGUUACUGUUAGUCUCAUUUACUGAUAAGAAAAUGGAGGCACAGGGAGUUUCUGGUAUUUCUCCAAAGUAAUAUGCAGCUAGUAAGUUUGUAGACUGCUCCUCAGAGUUCUUGCUGUCAGUUGUCCCUCUACCACGUCUACUUCCUACACAAUCCAAACCAGAAUGUCUGGGUUUUAUCCUCAGGGCACUGUGGAGCCACAGAAGGUUUAUGAGCAAGAGAGUGAUGUGAUUUCUUUCAGCAGGAUCCCUUGGCUGUCAUGUAGAGGAUGGAUUGUAGAGGAAAGAUGAGAGCCAGGGAGGAGGCUGGAGGCCCAUGAGAAGAGACAGAGAACAGAGACACA